UGCGGGGUGGAGCAGUCUGGUAGCUCGUCGGGCUCAUAACCCGGAGGUCGCUGGUUCAAAUCCGGCCCCCGCACCCA
rnacentral:tRNA from 2 species